rnacentral:rRNA from 1 species
GAUGAACGCUGACAGAAUGCUUAACACAUGCAAGUCAACUGUGGCGGACGGGUGAGUAACGCGUAAAGAACUUGCCUCACAGCUAGGGACAACAUUUGGAAACGAAUGCUAAUACCUGAUACUGUGAGAGAGCUUUGCGUCCAAUUAGCUAGUUGGAGAGGUAACGGCUCACCAAGGCGAUGAUGGGUGGCCGGACUGGGAGGGUGAUCGGCCACAAGGGGACUGGGGAACGGCCCGUACUGCUACGGGGGGCAGCGGUGGGGAAUAUUGGACGAAGGACCAAUGUGUGAUGAAGCAAUUCUGUUUGCAAGAUGAAGUUUUCGGAAUGUAAAGUGCUUUCAGUUGGGAAGCGGUACCAACAGAAGAAGUGACGGCUAACUACGUGCCAGCAGCCGCGGUAAUUC